CCCUUAGAUGUUCUGGGCCGCACGCGCGCUACACUGUUCGACGCAGCGAGUCUUAACCUUGACCGAAAGGUUUGGGCAAUCUUCAGCAAAGUCGAACGUGAUGGGGAUCGAUCAUUGCAAUUAUUGAUCGUGAACGAGGAAUUCCUAGUAAGUGCAAGUCAUCAGCUUGCGCUGAUUACGUCCCUGCCCUUUGUACACACCGCCCGUCGCUACUACCGAUUGAAUGGUUUAGUGAGAUCUCUGGAUUGACGCUGGCUAGGGGGCGACCCUUGGCCAGACUGCUCGAGAAACUGCUCAAACUUGAUCAUUUAGAGGAAGUAAAAGUCGUAACA
rnacentral:rRNA from 1 species